CGGAUGUACCCAAGUGGAUCAAGGCAGGG
rnacentral:tRNA from 1 species